rnacentral:rRNA from 1 species
UGCCAGCCGCCGCGGUAAUACGGGGGGAGCUAGCGUUGUUCGGAUUUAUUGGGCGUAAAGGGUGCGUAGGCGGUUAUAUAAGUAGAGUGUAAAAUCCCCAGGCUUAACCUUGGGUUCGCGCUCUAAACUGUAUUACUAGAAUGUGGUAGAGGAAAGUGGAAUUCUUAGUGUAGAGGUGAAAUUCGCAGAUAUUAAGAGGAACGUCAAAGGCGAAGGCAACUUUCUGGACCAUCAUUGACGCUGAGGUACGAAAGCGUGGGGAGCAAACAGGAUUAGAUA